rnacentral:rRNA from 1 species
UAAUACGGAGGGUGCAAGCGUUAAUCGGAAUUACUGGGCGUAAAGCGCACGCAGGCGGUUUGUUAAGUCAGAUGUGAAAUCCCCGAGCUUAACUUUGGAACUGCAUUUGAAACUGGCAAGCUAGAGUCUUGUAGAGGGGGGUAGAAUUCCAGGUGUAGCGGUGAAAUGCGUAGAGAUCUGGAGGAAUACCGGUGGCGAAGGCGGCCCCCUGGACAAAGACUGACGCUCAGGUGCGAAAGCGUGGGGAGCAAACAGGAUUAGAUACCCUGGUAGUCCACGCUGUAAACGAUGUCGACUUGGAGGUUGUGCCCUUGAGGCGUGGCUUCCGGAGCUAACGCGUUAAGUCGACCGCCUGGGGAGUACGGCCGCAAGGUUAAA